rnacentral:misc_RNA from 1 species
AAGACUAUAGACCUGCGGAGUACCUGCGGAAGGAUCAUUAAAGAGAAAACUGCCCUUUGGGUAGAUCUCCCACCCUUUGUUUACCUUACCUUUGUUGCUUUGGCAGGCCCGUCUUCUGACCACCGGCUUUUAGCUGGUCCGUGCCUGCCAGAGGACCCCCAACUCUUGAUUUCAAGUUGUCCGAGUCUUAUAUAAUAGUAAAAACUUUUAACAACGGAUCUCUAGAUCGGAAGAGCACAC